rnacentral:rRNA from 1 species
ACGGGUGAGUAACGCGUGGAUAACCUGCCGUAUACAGGGGGAUAACACUUAGAAAUAGGUGCUAAUACCGCAUAAGCGCACGGUUCCGCAUGGAACAGUGUGAAAAACUCCGGUGGUAUACGAUGGAUCCGCGUCUGAUUAGCCAGUUGGCGGGGUAACGGCCCACCAAAGCGACGAUCAGUAGCCGGCCUGAGAGGGUGAACGGCCACAUUGGGACUGAGACACGGCCCAAACUCCUACGGGAGGCAGCAGUGGGGAAUAUUGCACAAUGGGGGAAACCCUGAUGCAGCGACGCCGCGUGAGUGAAGAAGUAUUUCGGUACGUAAAGCUCUAUCAGCAGGGAAGAAAAAAAGUCCUUUGGACUUUGGACGGUACCUGACCAAGAAGCCCCGGCUAACUACGUGCCAGCAGCCGCGGUAAUACGUAGGGGGCAAGCGUUAUCCGGAUUUACUGGGUGUAAAGGGAGCGUAGACGGCAGCGCAAGUCUGGAGUGAAAUGCCGGGGCCCAACCCCGGAACUGCUUUGGAAACUGUGCAGCUGGAGUGCAGGAGAGGUAAGCGGAAUUCCUAGUGUAGCGGUGAAAUGCGUAGAUAUUAGGAGGAACACCAGUGGCGAAGGCGGCUUACUGGACUGUAACUGACGUUGAGGCUCGAAAGCGUGGGGAGCAAACAGGAUUAGAUACCCUGGUAGUCCACGCCGUAAACGAUGAUUACUAGGUGUCGGGGGGCCAAGGCCCUUCGGUGCCGCCGCAAACG